rnacentral:rRNA from 1 species
UACGGGGGGGGCAAGCGUUUGUUCGGAAUUACUGGGCGUAAAGGGCGCGUAGCGGCGUGGUAAGUCACUUGUGAAAUCUCUGAGCUUAACUCAGAACGGCCAAGUGAUACUGCUGUGCUAGAGUGCAGAAGGGGCAACCGGAAUUCUUGGUGUAGCGGUGAAAUGCGUAGAUAUCAAGAGGAACACCUGCGGCGAAGGCGGGUUGCUGGGCCGACACUGACGCUGAGGCGCGAAAGCUAGGGGGAGCGAACGGG